GUGGGGAAUAUUGGACAAUGGGCGAAAGCCUGAUCCAGCCAUGCCGCGUGUGUGAAGAAGGUCUUCGGAUUGUAAAGCACUUUAAGUUGGGAGGAAGGGCAGUAAGUUAAUACCUUGCUGUUUUGACGUUACCGACAGAAUAAGCACCGGCUAACUUCGUGCCAGCAGCCGCGGUAAUACGAAGGGUGCAAGCGUUAAUCGGAAUUACUGGGCGUAAAGCGCGCGUAGGUGGUUUUGUAAGUUGGAGGUGAAAACCCCGGGCUCAACCUGGGAACUGCCUCCAAAACUGCAUGACUAGAGUACGGUAGAGGGUAGUGGAAUUUCCUGUGUAGCGGUGAAAUGCGUAGAUAUAGGAAGGAACACCAGUGGCGAAGGCGACUACCUGGACUGAUACUGACACUGAGGUGCGAAAGCGUGGGGAGCAAACAGGAUUAGAAACCCGUGUAGUCC
rnacentral:rRNA from 1 species